ensembl:lncRNA
AUUCCCUAAUCACCCCAUAACGUCUUCAUCCUGACCCAUCACCUCUGCAAAAUUAAAGUCCCCCUUUUCCAUCUUCCUGGGCCAGUGUCAUCAGGCGAAGAGAAGGCAUGGCAAUCGUCCGGGCAGUCCCGUUUGAUUUGACUGUCUUCUGGAUUGAUUUGAACGCAUACAAGAGUUCAAGUGUUAUCCAGGGGGCACUCUACUUUUAUUGUAUGGAAAAGAGCAGCAUGAACACCCUGCUAAAUAUCUCCUGUUGACUUCCUUUCAUAUACAGAACUAUAAGAGGGUCUUUUUCAAACAGGUUUAGUGGCAGGGGAGAGCAGAGUUGUCUUCCCAUCCUGUUCUCUCCUCCCAGUCACUCACCCUGUUAUCGUUGGAAGCACCAGGCCUGUUUUUGUGACCAACAGAGUCGGAUGGAAUUUUGGCGGCUGUUCACUCCAAACACACAAGGCCUUGGCGCAUGUAAUUAAUGCUCAGCAAACACCAUCCAGAAAAGAGAAAGCACAGAGCGGCGCAAGGCCGGGUGAGAGAGGAGGAGCAGGGAGGUUAGCUCCCAGAUGGUUGACUUGUCUUUCAUCAUUUUCCCUUUUAUUUUGGAAAUCCCUUUUGUCGUGACAAACAAUGGGCAGAAAGGACAUGUGUGCAUGUGACAUUAGAGUUGCUUUGCUGUCCUCGUAAGUUACGCAGACCGUCUGCUAGUGACUCACUUCGUCAGAGAAUUCAGGGCUUCCAGAUGUUCUGUGUCAAAGGUGUCCACAGGCUUGACGGGCUGCGGCCACUUUUCGUUGUGCAGACACUUCAAAGCAUUCUUCUUCCACCUGAGAUGGACAGCAUAUGCCGCUAUCAACCCUGAGCGAUAUGUAAAAUUUGAGGAUGGAAGCAGAAUAAAGCUCGAAAGAGA